CAAAAAGGAAGACGUGGGACUUGACCUCCUUCAAGGGGUGUUCCACAGGGCUCAGUACUGGGCCCCCUACGCUUCUGCAUCUACACCUCCUCCCUCAGUCCUCUCACUGCCUCCCACAGAUUGUCCUACCACUUCCACGCCGAUGAUACCCAGCUCUUCCUCUCGUUACCCACGGGAAGGAGUGGGGUUGGCUACCUGGAUGUCUGAUCACCACCUACAACUGAAGCUCUCCAAAACUGAGAUCCUUCAGAACCCAACAUGUUCAUCCUCCUGUCGAGAGCUCUCUACGAAACUGGACAACUCACUCAGUUUGACGACCUCAUCGGCUAAGAGACCGGGAGUAACGAUUGGCUCAGGCCAUGGUGACAUCUUUCUGGACUGCCGUAGCUCUCUUCUCUACUCCUUCAUCCUCUGCCAUCAAGCUUCUCCAGCUGAUACAGAAGGCAGCGAACCGCAACGGAAAGCUCAUUAGUGCUCAGAGCUGCUGAAUCCCUCCCACACUGAAGCAGGGUCUUGACCUCAUGUCUUUGAGAGCCACUUCUCUCCUGAUCUCCUGACAGCUCCAGCAGUCAG